rnacentral:lncRNA from 1 species
AAUAACAAUACAUGUACGAAAUUUAUUGAUAAUGGGUAUCAACAAUGAAGAAGAUAAAGAGGAGAAGGUAGUGGUAUAUAGGAGGUCAAUUCACCUAAUAAAAUGGAGAGCCAGAAAAGUACAAAAGGUAGAAAAUGGGUAUUAUGCUGAAGAAGACUGAGGUUGAGGACUAGUAAGAGGGUUUAAGAUCUGAUCCUUUAUUCAUCGCUCUUUAGGGUAUUUAUAGGAGAAAGGUCUCCCACCUAAUAAUGCCACAUUGCUAACAAUUCUGGGCCAUGGUGAGUAUGUGGUCGAGCAAGUGGCAAGGUUGUUAUAAAAUGGUUGUCAUCAAGCAAGACAUUGCUCUGACAUUCUCCUUAUUGAGGUAAUACAGGGUAGUUAUGCUUUAGUGGUCUCACUUAGAGAUAAGAGCAUUCCUACCAAGAGCAGGUGGUUUAAUAGUGGGUGGCGAGGUAGAAGGUGGUCUAUCCGAGUGCCACACCUAGAGAUUGAUCAAGCCACGGACAAAUGGGUGAAAAGGAAUGUGGAUCCCAGAUUCAAGUAAGUACAAUAGGGCCUAGAAACUCUGCUAAGAGGAUGAAACCCUUCCAUAUGCUAAACUUAUAUUUGUGGUGCCUCAUGACAAGCCUUUUGCACAUUAACAACCUUCUCAUCCCCAUCUUGUGGUUCACUCAUAGGAAGCACUGACCAUAGGGUCGUUUUUUUCCCUCUAAGCUCAUCAAUCUCUGGCUACCCUUCUAGGAAGUUCGAUAAUAGGUUUAUAGCUUGUUCAACCAUAAAUGUCAAACCGACAAAGAGAAUGAGAAGAAAAGGCAAGAAAAUGAGGGUUAUCCUGGAAAUCCUAAGCGAAAAACCCCAAACCAAGGAAAACAACAAUCAAGAGAGUAAGAAACCCAAAAAAUAGAAGCACUUAAGGACCACCUACACAAUAGUAGAAAACUAGAAAGAAAAAUUCGAAAACCAACUGCGACAAAAAUGAUUACAAGGUUGAAGAAGAAGAGAGUAUAUAGGAUUCUCUCAAAAUGGUGCAUUUUAUCAUUUGUACUCCUCAAUAAGUCACAGCUAAUGACACCUGGACACGUGUUGGAUGAAGAGUUGCUGUUCAUUAUUACUCUGACUCCCCAUGCAUAACUGUUUAGCAUUGCAUUAAAUGCAAAUAUUUUGAAAGCUUCAAGGUAAUCCUUCAUCUCCAAACACGUACUUAGUACACAUAAUGAGCAACUUUUAGUCUUCCAAAUCAGUCAUUAUCAUACCACCUACUAUUUUACCCCUCACGAAGAUUACAAAUCGUCUCAAGAUAGGCUAUUUUAUAACUUACCUUUCAAUGGGGGACAAUUGUUAAAUCCAUGCUCAACUUGAAUACAUGGCAUCACUAGAAGCUACUUAAAAAGAACUUGUGGAC